rnacentral:tRNA from 1 species
UCCCCCAUAGCUCAGCGGUAGAGUAGGUGACUGUUAAUCACUUGGUCAUAUGUUCGAAUCAUAUUGGGGGAGCCA